rnacentral:lncRNA from 1 species
GGCAAAAAAUUACUUGAUUAUAUUUCAUAACCUCAAUCGAUAUACAAAAAAGAGAAAAAUAUAUGUAAUUAUCAUAGAACUGAAAUACCUCAAUAUAGAUACAUGUUCCUAAGAGUAUGGCAAUCAACAUACUUUGAUACAAGUUAAUUUCUACAAAUUUCAUAUUGCACCAUCAACCAUUGUAUUGACUUGAACAACCUGCAGAUGCAAACAUAAGGAGACUUAAAAUUCACUACAUGUAGAAUGUAAAAAAAAUAUAUAAGGCAAAAAAAUAACUUUAACAAUAUACAUUUCAAAUUGACAAGCAUAAAUAGCAGUUUGAUAACAAUAUUCAUGUCUAAAUAGCCAAAACAAAUCAACUACACUCAAGAAAAACACAAGUAUAUCCCCAGACAAGGGAUAUUAGACAAGGGAGUUGUCCAACCUUCAUGUGACCUCCGCCAGAAUAAUAACAUCGGCCAACGUCAUCCUUGAUAUGUGGAUCGAUGCAUGAAAAAGUAUAUUCAUUUAAUUAACAACUAUUUCACACAUUUAACUGAACAAACAAGCCCAUACAUUAUAUAAAGGAGAGAAAUCACAAGUCGCUCAUACCUUGAAAAAAUCACCUUCUAGUCUCGAAGAUCAAGACUUUCUACUUUACUGAUAGCAAGAAUUACUUUGACUACUCAUCUUGAUUUAAAACUAUCCAACAGGUUCAACUCAAUGACUUAGGGCCAUCUACCAGAUACUUCUAAAUUAAUUCAUUUAUAUCAACAUGCAGAAAAGUUGCUUACAUAAAGUUCUCUGUAAUGCAAGUGAUAUCAAUCAAGUAAAUAGAUUCAUAGAACCAAUAGCUUAGUCUAGUUCAGAGGAAGAUAUACAAUAACUAUCUACAUGUUACAGCCUUUAUAAAACUCACAAACUAUAAAAUUUCCCCUGUUCUCAUUUUCAUUACAAUACGAACAUAGCACACCAAGAGCUUGACAAUUUAGAGAAUUAACAAUAUAUUGUAACUAGUAAGACCACAAUAUCACUAUAACACCAAUAUAAUGAAUCUGAGAAGCAACUCGACUAGGUCUGAACCUCUCCAUAUCAAAUAAAUUAAUAUUUCCCUCUGAAUUAGUUUUAUGUCUUAUGUUAUCAAAAAUGAUGCAGUUCAAUUAGUGUUUGCACUUAUAAAUCUAUCCCUUGUUUUAUCUAAAACUAAAGUUAUAAAAAAAAAAAAAAAAAAAAAAACAUCUCUAUGUACUUACACAUAAAUAAAUUCUUCUUAAAAAUAAAGUAAAAGAUAUUGAGUCAUUUACCUGGAGAAAAGUUAAACAAAAUUCCCCAAGAAGAUAACCCACCUAAAAUAGAGCAAAAUCCAUAAACGCAUAUGUAAGGGAGGGAAACCAUCAACGAAGAUCGGAUCCACAAUAAUAAAUAAAAAAAAAAAAAAAAAAGACAUAAUUGAAGAAGAGGGAACUCGAUUGUUACCUAAACUCCUAGGAAGAACAAAAAAGUUCUCCCAAUUCAAAAACCCACCUGCAGAUAAGAAGAGAAAAAACUUUUAAAGCCAAAUCAUAAAUUGGGAGAGUAAGGAAAUAAAGGAAAAAAAUAUAUACACAAAUAGUUGAAGAAGAGAAGCUAAUUUUACCGGAGAGAAGAUAAUUUUACCAGAAAUUUUGUCUCUCGGGAGCUGAGAAUCUUCUCUAGAAAAGGGUUCUAUGCACUCCACAAAACCCUUGAAUAUGAAGCUGAUGAAAAAAUAAGAC